rnacentral:rRNA from 1 species
GGAUUACCUCAGUAACGGCGAGUGAAGCGGUAACAGCUCAAAUUUGAAAUCUGGCCCUUUCAGGGUCCGAGUUGUAAUUUGUAGAAGAUGCUUUGGGUGUGGCACCGGUCUAAGUUCCUUGGAACAGGACGUCAUAGAGGGUGAGAAUCCCGUAUGUGACUGGCUGCCUUCGCCCGUGUAAAGCUCUUUCGACGAGUCGAGUUGUUUGGGAAUGCAGCUCAAAAUGGGUGGUAAAUUUCAUCUAAAGCUAAAUAUUGGCCAGAGACCGAUAGCGCACAAGUAGAGUGAUCGAAAGAUGAAAAGCACUUUGGAAAGAGAGUUAAACAGUACGUGAAAUUGUUGAAAGGGAAGCGCUUGCAACCAGACUCGCGCGCCGUUGAUCAUCCGGUGUUCUCACCGGUGCACUCGGCGGCGCUCGGGCCAGCAUCAGUUUGGGUGGUGGGAUAAAGGCCUUGGGAAUGUGGCUCUCUUCGGGGAGUGUUAUAGCCCUCGGUGCAAUGCCGCCUACCUGGACUGAGGACCGCGCUUCGGCUAGGAUGCUGGCGUAAU